GAGAGAGAGAGAGAGAGAGUCUACAUAGAAGUGUCUAGGUGACAUGUUCUUGUUUAGGCUAUUUUUGUGGUCUUCUUGGUUUUUGUAUUAGGUGUUAAUGUAUUAUUUAUUUUGGCACAAAAAUUUAAAAAAAUUUAGAUGAGACACAUGGCGCAAAAUUAAGAAUCCAAUUAACUCACUUGACCAAAAAAAAAAAAGGACACGCGGUGCAAAAUUGAGAAUUCAAUUGAAAUCUGAUUGAAUUUUCUCUCAGCUUCACCUAUUAUCUAUAUAUAUAUAUAUAUAUAUAUAUAUAUAUAUAUAUAAAACCGAACCCUUUGAAACUCCCAUAGUUUUCCAAGUCAGCAUUUAUUUAUUUCUAUUUUUUAAAUUUUGAUUUUUUAAAAUUAAUUUCGAUUUUUUUUUCCAGUCUUAUGCGAUUGACUCUCUAACCUAUACGCAUUCUUAAAACCCAGAACCCUAACCUUUGAGUUCUCUCUCUGUGUGCUUUGUCUUGGGUCUCUCCAUUUCCCCUUUCUCUCUUUAUUCCUCAAACCAAUUUUUUUAAAUAAAAAUUACAUGAAGAAGAGAGCUUCUCUUCAGUUUUGGUGCUACGUACGGGUUAAGGACUUUGGAAAGUAAUAUGGUAUUCCAAACACAGUAGUAAAAGUUAUUCAUAGCAGAGUUCCAUGAUAGCUACAAGCAACAAACUAAGACCUUCAAUAUAUGCAGAUUCUUGCCAGGAUUGUAGCAGGUUAGUGCAGUACUGGUAAUCUGGUGCCAAUCAGGGACUAUUGCUUUACUCAAAUUUGUAUCUUUCGGCCUUUCUAAGAAGCCUUUAAAUAGGUCUCUGAAAACCUGAUUAGAGCAUGAUUUGGUCGCACUAAUUCCUGCAAGCCUGAGUAUGAGUCCUCCAUGACCAGCGGAUGAGUGUGAGAGAUUCAUGAAGAAUCAAGUUUCAAAGAAGAAACAGUGCAAUUCGUGACUAGCUCGCAAGAAGCUCACGAGAAGAGUAACCUGCGAAAGGCCACGUGUGAAGCACAUGACUAGAAACUGAAGAGUCAUACCAGGCUAUCAAAUUUGUGAGUACUUCACGAGAAAGACCUUCUCACGAGGUAACCGAAAAACAUUCUAUUUGGCAAAAAGAUAAAGUGCUUUACCAAAUUCUUUACCCACACUAUAUUUACCUUCAUUACUCAUGAAAUGUAAGGAGUACUUUUUAGAGAAAAAAACCCUAGCAAAAACACUUGAGAGUUAGAGAUUGUUAUACCCACAAUCAUCUACAUAUUUUCUCUUGGUUUUCCUCUACUCCUACCUCUCCAUCUCUACAUCCUUGAGAGGUUCUUAGCCCAAACACUUACCUCACCCAAUUUGAGUGUUGAGUCAAGUUUUGGUGCCUUUGGGAAGCAUUGGAAUGAGCCAUUAACUGGCGGAUGCAAUCAAGUUGAAUUACAAGUUCUGAAAAGCUAGUGAAGAUAAGACUCCGAGAAGUCCGUUGGUAGCAGGAGCUUGGAGAGCUCGAGUACAUAGGGUAGACUAGGCUUAGAGGGUCUUUUGUUAUUCGUGUACUCCAACUUAUUCACUAGUGAAUCACUUUCAACUUGGAGGGUCGCGGAAAGAUUUUUCACCGAGUUCUUUGGUUUCUUCUUCGAUAACAUGUCUUGGUAUUAUCUUGUGUUUACAUUUCUCUUCCCUACUCUUUAAGCUUUCAUUUUAUUGUUCAUUGUGGUUGAAUAUGGCUUAGAAUAGUGUUACCAGUUUAUUGCGCAUAUUUACUCUUGUUUUGUACUUUGUUAAGUUAGAGUAAAAGCAAUCUAGUCGUAAUUUUAAAAUUGGGGUCUGAACAAGUUUUAGUAUUUUCACACUAAUUUGAGCUUUCAAUUGGUAUCAAAGUGGGUAUAUUUUGUUGAAUUUUAUUAUCCUUGUGUGAUCCUAGACCCCAUUUGAGAUGGAUAGAUCUCAAUCCCUCAACGCACCUCCUUACUUUGAUAGGAGUAACUAUGCAUUUUGGAAAGUACGUAUGCGUGCUUUUCUAUGUGCUAUUGAUGAGACCGUUUAGGAUUCCAUUGAGAAUGGUUGGGUGAGACCAACAACAUCCAAAGUUGAAUGGGAUAAGGCUACACUUGCUUUGGCAAAUGCCAAUGGCAAAGCUAUUAAUGCUAUUUUUCGUGUUGUUUCUAUUGAUGAAUUCCAUAUGAUAUCUCAUGUGAAGACCGCCAAAGAGGCAUGAACCAUCCUUGAGACCACCUACGAGGAAACCAAGAAGAAGGUCAAGGACACCAAACUUCAAAUGCUUACUAUUCGAUUUGAGGAAGUGAAGAUGACUGAUGAUGAGUCAUUUGAUUCAUUUUAUGGGAGACUCAAUGAGAUUGUUAUUGACAAACUCAAUAUUGGAGAGAAGACUGAAGACGCCAAAGUGGUGAGGAAAGUCUUGAGAUCCUUACUCAAAAGCUUCUAGGCUAAGGUCACCGCCAUUGAGGAGAGCAAAGAUUUUGAUGGGAUCAAGAUUCAAGAGCUUGUUGGCUCUCUUCAAACCUAUGAGCUUGGACUGCCCUCUCAUAAGUCUAGCAAAUCACUUGCUCUCAAACCAGAAAUGAGAGAAAUGAUGAUUCCUCCGAUGAGGAUGAUGUUGAAAAAGAGGUGGCAUAUCUGGCAAAAGGAAGUUCUCAUCCUCCAAAAGUGACAAAAGAGACUUCAAGAAGAAGGAUGGGAAAGACUCAUCAUCAUCUCAAGGGAUUGUAUGUUUCGAAUGCAAUGGCCAUGGGCAUCUAAAGAAAGAGUGUCCAAACUAUUUGAGAGUAAAGGGUAAAGAACUAACAACUACCUUUAGUGACUCGGGGAGCUUAAAUUCCGAUAUGGAAAGAGAAUGUGAUAGUGACGGCAAUUAUUUAGCAUUCAUGGUGAUUACCACGGUUGAUUCUAAAGAUGGAUUGAGCGAUUUGGUUGAUUAACUUGGUAUUCACUCCAAAGGUGAAGAAGUUGAAGCUUUGGAUGAUGAGGAUGUGUACCUCAAUGAGGGUGAUAAGAAUCCUCAAUAAGUGUACAAUGUGUUGCUUGAAGAUUAUGGCAAAUAUGCUAAGGUUGCCAAGAGUGUAGUUAAGAAGAAGAAGAAAAUUGAAGAAGAACACAAAUCCAUUCUUUUACAACUUAAGAAUGUUAAGUGUGAAGUUGAAGAGUUGAAGGAAGAGUUUCUGAAUGCCUACUCCAAAAUCAAGUUUCUCGAACUUGAAGUAAUUCAAGCAAAUGUCAAAGUGGAGCACAUCACAACCAAGAAACUUGAUAGUGUGCUUUCAUCUCAAAAGCCUUACACGGACAAGACCGGAUUGGGUUACACCAGUGAAGGAAGUUUAACUGGCGAACCUAAAAAGGAGAUGGAGUUUGUGUUAGGAAAGAAUGUAGAGAAGCCUAAGGUUGAGAUCCCUACUGUUCAAAAGAAAGACAUUGGUCCAAAACCAAAGGCAAAAAGGAAGUCAUAAGAAUCAAAGGGGUCCUCAAAUGAAGCAUUUUUAUCAUCAUUGUGGAGUUUGAGGACACAUAAGACCAAAUUGCUUCAAACUUCAUGCUCUAAAAAGGGCUGAUUCUCUAUGUGAUCAAGGAAAUACAAGAAGAAUGCCAAGAGGAAAGCAAGCUAAGGAAGAAAAUAAGGGUCAACUCAUUGGAGAUGUCAUGCAGAUGCUUAAGAACAUUUCAUCAUACCAAGCUAGCUUCACCUUGAGGUUUGAGAGUUAUGUUAGUCAUACCCCUCCUUCUAAGAACCUCACCCAAAACAUUCGUGUAGUGUGGGUGAAGAAAGGUACUCAUGCAUGAUCACUCACUAUGUCCAUGUAUCAAUACUUCCAAUGUAUUAGGGUCAUAGUUUCAUGCAUCAAGGCAUAUGCAUUCUUCUAGAGUCACUACUUUCGCCCUAGCAUGUUUCUUUUAUAGGUCUUUGUAUUUUUUUACCUUGUUUUGUUGAUCUUACUUUAUUGCUUUGUUUUUGAAUGUGUUAAAAAUUCAAAAACCUAUAAAAAGUAAAAAAUCUCAAAAAGUUUGAUCGCUUGUGUUAAGUAUAUCACAUGUUGAGUUUGGCCUAGUACCUCCGUACUAAUGGCGCAGUGCAUUUACAAGCUUAGCUUGUUAUGUAUGCACAUUUUUUAAGUGUAAGUAAAAUAUAGAAAUCUAUAUUUGAUUGUUGUAAAUAGAUCUUCAAGCUUGUCAUGAAUGAUUAGUCAAUAGUCUUGUUUGAUCUUAAUACAUGCGUAGACUUGAUCCUAUAUAUCUCCUCACAUUUAUUUUUAUAUCAAAAAGCUCUUCAAACGUCAAUCUCUAAAAAGAGCUUGCUGAAAAAGUCUUGCUUCAAAAACUAGUUUGACUAAGAAAAGGUGUAGCAAAAUGUAUUUAAAAUGUAUGAUGCCAAAGCCAAAGGCUUAUUCCUUAAAGAAAUAUAAAAAAUUUCAUGGCAUCACUGCUAAAAAAUUGAGUUGUAUUGAACAAAAGGUAUGAAAAAUGGAAGCCAAAUGAAAAGCUUUCAAUCAAUGUAAACAUAUUGGUGGAGGGGGUCAUAUAUGUUCAUUUCUACUAGUGAGAUAGGUCACUUGACUUCAUGCUAGUUGUGUAUAACUUGAUUGAAUUGAUCAUUGAAACUUCAUAUUAGAAUAUGGACUAGAUCAUACUUGAUUCACACACACAACACAAAAGUCUAAUGUGAUAUGUGUAUACUCAAUCGCUUGAUGAUCAAACCCAAAAAGAUUUUUGAGUAUUUUAUUUGUUUUUGAAAAUGUUUUUGUGUAUCACUUGUGUUUUGAAAUUUUGAAAGUUUUUCCAAAAAUCCAAAUCUGUUUUGUUGAAAAACUCCUCCAAAAGCAUUUCCGCGAGUAUGUUGCGAGUAAGGUAUCUUGCAUCCUAGUCGCAAAAAUGAGGAAGUGAAUUUUCAUCUCUUCCAAAAUUGUACACAGAGAGUUUCGCGACUCCCUCAUGAGUACUUCGUGAGAAAUAGCUUCCCACGAAACUUGCCCUGUGCAUUUGAGGCAUUUUGUGAGUAACUCGUAAGUACUUUGCGAGUAACUAUCCCGUGAAAUGAGCGAAUUUUCAGUUUUUAAAGGGGUACACAGUGGCAGUUUUUUCAAAACUUCUAUUUUGCCUCUCUCAACCCAAAACAUCUUUGUCACUCUAAUCUCAACCAAAACUCCUUGGAUUUCAUCCCUAAGACUUCUCUAAGGUAUGCUUUAAUAACUUUUAUCUUUUGAAUCCUUAUAUGAAGUCUUAGAUUCUUCAAAUUCUAAGGUUGGGGUUAUUUUGAAUAGGGUUGGGAAAAUUUAAUUUUUGUCAAAUCAUUUUACAUUUUUCUUGCUCGGUUUGUGUCCCAUUGUGUUUGUUGUUGUUUUUGUUGGCCCCUUGUGGCAUUUUAACAUGUAUUUAGGCAAGUUUUUCAUGUGUUGAUGCAUUGUUUAACAUAUGUGUGUAGUGUGUGUUAGGACAUAUGUGAUUCACUUGUUAGGAACAUAUGUCACUAUUUUAUGUAAUUGGCUAAUUCUUUAACAAAACACACUUUACUUGUAAUUGGGUAGAUCUAGGAUGUGUUUAAUACUUCAAGAAACUGUGUUUCAAGAUCAAGUGUUAAAGCCAUGCAAGUUUGUCCAAGAUUCAAGCUGAAGAAGUGCUGUCUAUUAAAGCUUGACAAUUAGCUAUCUAUCGAGACCUGUAGAGUUGUUCAGCCUUGUGGCUCGACAGAUAGGGUAUCUAUCGAGGUUUAUGAAAAACAGAAUUCCAGUUCUAUUUUGACUCUAAUCCGUGAUUAUGUGUUUGGGCCUUCUUUUCUCACAACCCUAGACAUAUAAAAGGAUUAUUUUAAGGGCCGUCAAAGUGUUCACAAGUUGCACAAGUGUUGAGCAAAGUUUGUUCAAGCAAAUGUGACCAGUGACACAGUUUUGCCCUAGUUCAUCAUUCUUGUGAAGAAGUUACUGUGUUUGUGCAUUGUAGGGUUUUGUGACCAAGCAUCUUCUUGAUCUUCAUCAUUGGGAUGAACUGAAGAACUUUGUAGCCAACAACCUUCUCUAGUUGGUGAUUGAAGUCACAUACUGGGAUUCGCGCAAUUGUUUAGUCACGUAUUUGGGAGCCGUGCAUCAAAAGGAGAAAUUGUCACUACAGAACAAGUCCAAUUAGGUAUUGGGGUAAGAGUUCAACUAUAGGUUGGUAUAAGGUACUGAGAUUCCUUUACUUGUAACCGCUUGUUGUGAUAAUAGUGGAAUUUCGGGAGUGGUGACCUGAAAAUCACUCGGUGGGAUUUUUGCCAUGUUAGUUUUCCCCAUUCGUAAACAAAUCACCGUGUCAAAUUUAUUUUUCGCUACAUACUUAGUUUAUUGGUGAUUUGUUUAUGCUACCACGCGUUUGCAUGUUAAUUAACUAAAUUAAUUCACUUGGCUAAAUUAAUUGGUUAAUUCAUCACGAGGGGUCAAUUCGUUUUUGACUUAUUAGUGUGUGCACUCUAAAAUGCCUAUAUGGUAUUUUUUUCAUUCUUUUGGACUCCAAUGAGUACCAAUUUUUGGGAAUCACCAUGAUUACGCAUGUUUAUCAUGUUUUGAUCAUUGUUUGUACUUUUUACACACUUUUCCCUAUGAGUGCUUGUUCAUGCAUUGCUCAUGAAUCUCACAUGCACACUAGAUUCACCCUUGAUGCACACACUCUAACACUUGAUAUAUUUUAGACCUUUUAGCACCUAUAACAUGUUCUAGUGUCUAUGUUAUGCUUGUCUAUUUCCAUUUUAGGACAUUUUUCUCAAUUUGUUCUUGUUUAUGGACUAACUUGUAUCUAAUCAAGUUUGUUACCAUGUUUGUGCAUGGUUUGUGUGUUUGUUCAUUUUUGUAGAUGUCUCCUCAUAAGUCAGCUGCAAAGAAAUCAGUAAAGCGUCCUUGUCACUCCCUCAAUUAGUUCAGAAACCAAGAUGCUAACAAUGCUUACAUCGAUCACUACAAGAAUGCUACGAUCAUCGUGGAAAGGGGUAUGAACAUUGAAUCCUUGGAGAACACAUUCAUUCCAGAAGUGUUCAAGGAGAGGACAUGGACCAAAUUGCUGAAUCCCUCGGAUGAUUUGUAUGAGUUCAUCAUCAAGGAAUUCUUUGCAAAUGCAUUUGUGGAAGAUGACCACAUUAGUUGCUAGGUUAGGGGGAAAGAAUUCACUGUCUCUAGAGAGUUAAUCCAGGAGCUUUUAGAGAUCUGUCUGAUGACUCCAGAUAGCUCUCUACAUUUUGAUGAGAGAAAAGACAAACUUGAGCCUCUUUUGCAAGUUCUUGGAGGUCAACUUAAGAAGAAGGCCUUGCACACGAUUGACUUCACGCCUGAGAUAAGGGCUUUGGCCUAUAUCAUGAUCUUCAACCUCUAUCCGGUGAAGAAUUUGACAACUUUGUCGGGGCCAAGGACCAUUUUCCUCCAUGAUCUCUUCACUCACAAAGAGAUUGAUAUUUAUGGUCACAUCUACCAGCUCUUUGUUAAGUGCGUUCGAAAAAGAAAGACAAAGAUGACUCUACCAUUUCCAAGCCUUAUCAUGUCACUCAAAGGCACGGGUGAAGAUUCCAAGUGGACUCCUGGUCAUGCCAAGGGGAGAGUCAAUUAGUAAACACACUAUGAACCGGAGUAAAGCCCACAUUCCUGGUCUAGAAGCUGGUGCAGCACAAGUUCCAAGAGAAGAAGCUACAUCUGAAGGUGGCAACAUCGAAGAUGAGAUUGAUUAGUUCACUCAUGUAUCGGAGAAUAUUCCACAACCAUCUUCUCAAGCACAAGCUAGAGCACCCGACUGCCUUGAUUUAAUACUAGGAAAGGUGUUUCAAGAUACAGGAGUAUAUGGUUCAAGUGCUUCACAGUUUUUAGAUUUAGGUGUGUGUGAGUUUUGCCUCUUUUCCCAAACUCACGUUUAAGUCUAGAGUCUGUUUAGGGGUUUUGUCACAGAAUAGUCAAAGGGAGAUUGUAAAGUUGUGAUUUCCAACUAACCUUUGUUGCAUUUAAUUCCAUGCCAAAUUUGAUUGUAACUUCUUCAAUCAUUUCCCUGUCUUUAUGUGAGUUUAUUUGUAAGGGAUGAGUGUGAGAGAUUAGUGAAAAAUCAAGAUUCAAAGAAGAAACAAUGCAGUUCGCAACUAGCUCGCGAGAAGCUUGGGAGAAGAGUAACCUGCGAAAGGUCACAUGUGAAGCGCAUGACUAGAAGCUGAAGAGUCAUGCUAGGUUGUCAAAUUUGUGAGUACUUCGUGAGAAAGGUCAUCUCGCAAGGUACCCACGAAACAUUCUUUUUGCCAAAAAGAUAAAGUGCUUUACCAAAUUCUUCACUCACACUAUAUAUACCCUCAUCACCCACAAAAUGUAAGGAGUGCUUUUCAGAGAGAAAACUCUAGGAAAAACACUUGAGAGUUAGAGAUUGUUAUACCCACAAUCAUCUACACAUUUUCUCUUGGUUUUCCUCUACUCCUAUCUCUCUAUCUCUACAUCCUUAAGAGGUUCUUAGCCCAAACUCUUACCUUACCCAAUUAGAGUAUUGAGUGAAGUUUUGGUGACUUUGGGAAGCAUUAGAAGGAGCCAUUAAGUGUUGGACGCAAUUGUGCUGAAUUGCGGAAUCUGGAAAGCUAGUGAAGACAAGACUCCGAGAAGUCCGUUGGUAGUAGGAGCUUGGAGGGCUCAAGUACAUGAAGUAGAAUAGGCUUGGAGAGUUUUUUGUUAUUUGUGUACUCCAACUUAUUCACUAGUGGAUCGAUUUCGACUUGGAGGGUUGCAGAGAGUUUUUCGAUUUCUUCUUCGAUAACACAUCUUGGUGUUAUCUUGUAUUUGUAUCUCUCUUCUCUACUCUUUAAGCGUUCAUUUUAUUGUUCAUUGUGAUUGAAUAUAGCUUGAAGUAGUGUUACCGGUUUA